rnacentral:lncRNA from 1 species
UUUUUUUUUUUUUUUGGUCUUUUUAGGGCUGCACUCAUAGCAGUAUGGAGGUUCCCAGGAAGCGGCCCUAGAAAAGGCAAAAAAAGACAAAAAAUAAAAAUAAAAAAAUAAAAAAUAAAAUCACUGAUCAAAUCAAGAGUCUAGCAGAAUGGACCAGAUAAAACUAAAUGGCACUGACAAAUGCUCACAAUUUAGAAACUGACACUUGAGAGCUUGGUGAGAAAAGGUUCUGUGGAAGGGCCAGAAAAGGAUGGUGCAGAAUCUGGACUGACUGGUGUUGAGGAACAAAAGGAAUGGAGGAAUGCUGAUGCUGUGGAGACGGUGGAUGAAGACUGAUACUGGACCAGGACCCCUUUUUGGAUGAUCCUUUGGGGGCCUGAGGCAACUUAAAGGAAGAGAGAGAUAAAUUUGUUUCAAAUAGCCAAUAAGCACUUGAAAAGAUUCUUAACAUCAGCCAACAGGGAAAUGCAAAUCAAAAUCUGGAGCUACCACUUCGCACCCACGAGAACGGCUAUAAUAAAAAAGAUACACAGUAACAAAUGUUAUCAAGGAUGUGGAAAUAGCAAAACCCUCAGUUAUUCGCCAGUGGAACGUAAAAUAGUGCAUCCAAUUUAGAAAACAAUCUGGCAGUUCCCCCCAAAGAUAAAUACAUAGUUAGUAUAUGACCCAGUCAUUCCCAGGCACAUACCCAAGAGAAAAGAACACAUUCAUCCACACAAAAUCCCACAGAGGAAUGUUCCUAAUGGCCUUAUUCCUAAUAGCCCCAAGCUGGAAACAACCACAAAGUCCAUCAACAGAUGAAUGGAUAAACAAAAUGUGGUAUAUUUAUACAAUGGAAUAGUGCUCAUAAUAAAAAAUGAAUGAAGAACAGAUACCUGCUACAACAAGGAUGAAUCUUUCUAUUUUUUCUUUUUAGGGCCAUACCUGCGACACAUGGAAGUUCCCAGGCUAGGGUUGAAUCAGAGCUGCAGCUGCCCACCGGACUAGGCCACAGCCACAGCAAUGCAGGAUCCAACCGGUAUCUGCAACCUACACCGCAGCUUGUGGCAACCCCACAUCUUUAACCCACCAAGCGAGUCCAGGGAUGGAACUCUCAUCCUCAUGCACACCAUGCUGGGUUCUGACCUGCGGAGCUAACACAGGAUCUCCAACAUGGAUGAAUCUUGAUAACAUGAUCAGGUAAAAGAAACUAAUCACGAAGAUUGUGCACAUAUUGUACAAUUCCACUUAUUUGAAAUAUCCAGAUUAGGCAAACUCAUAUAAAAAGGUAGACUAGAUGUCGCCAAGGGAUGGGAGUAGGGAGGAAUGGUGAGCGACUGCUAAUGGGUACCCGUUUCCUUUGGAAGUGAUGGGAAAAUGUUCUAGAAAUAGGUAAUUGUUACCGCUCUACAAGUCCGAAUAUGUGGGAAAACCACUGAAGCAUAUUUUUAAAAACGGCGAAUUUUAUGCUGUGUAAAUUACAUCUCAACUUAAAAAAUCAAAUUAACGUUAAGUAAAAAAUUUCGCACACAUAGCCAUCUGACAUCUAGAUAACUGGGACAAAAUAGAGCUGCUUCAACCUGGACCACGCACAUCAGCAUCGCAGGCAGAGGAUUCCAAGUCCAGGGC